GCUGCUCAAGAAUUUGCACACCGCUACGAGGUGAGCAGCAGGCAACACAGUGGAAGCUGUGGCGAAGAUGCGAUU
rnacentral:ribozyme from 1 species